GACGAACUGUCCUAACGUUGUUCGGAAUCACUGGGCUUAAAGGGCGCGUAGGCGGUCGAUCAAGUCAGGGGGUGAAAUCCUACAGCUUAACUGUAGAAGUGCCUUUGAUACUGGUUGUCUUGAGGGAGGUAGGGGUGUGUGGAACUCACAGUGGAGCGGUGAAAUGCGUUGAUAUUGUGAGGAACGCCGGAGGCGAAGCGACGCGACUGGUACCUCUUCGACGCUGAGGCGACGAAAGGCAUAGGGGGAGUCAAACACGGG
rnacentral:rRNA from 1 species